rnacentral:tRNA from 1 species
AGUCGCUUAGCUCAGUUGGUUAGAGCGCUUCCUUCACACGGAAGAGGUCGAAGGUUCGAAUCCUUUAGCGACUACCA